ensembl:lncRNA
UGGACAAGCCGAGCCCACUCUGGCACUGGGCCUUUGCACGGACUGCUCCUCUGAUCUUUGUGGGGAGGUCUCCUCCUCCUUCAAGCUUGAGCUUCAGUGGUUCCUCCUUGGACCGGGAUCUGCCGCCACUGGCCGCUCUCCGUCUCACGGACCUGUUGAUUUUCCCCAUAUGCAGCAUUUAUCUCGGAGAUCCCAGAGCUGUCUGUCUCGUUCAUGCCCGUUCCCCAGAGCCCAGCACAGCGCCUGCUCACAGAAGGCCCCAGUCAAGAUUUGUCAGGUUUUUAUCCGGCGCCCACUGGAUGCAGAGAUGGAGCUGAAGCCGCCCUGCGAAGGAGAGAGGCAAUAAAAGCGACAGGCUGGAACCGCCUUCUCCACCUAGACUCCGAUUCCUGCAAACACAGCGGUGAUGGAACCCUAAGGAAACGUGAAAGCGCCUGCCUUCUGCUCUCAAUAACAUCGCAGCUGAUCAAGCUCUGCCAGCUCGCGGCCCCGUGGCUCCCGGACCGAGAGAGUAGGAAAUUCAGAAUUGCCAACUCAGUUUUCCCCACCAAGCACAUUUUGUUUAAAAUUUUCAUCUAGAGUCACCAUAAUUUCUUAAAAGAAAAAACUUUUUUUUUUUUUUGAAGAUUAGCCCUGAGCUAACAUCUGCCACCAAUCCUCCUCUUUUUGCUGAGGAAGAUUGGCCCUGAGCUAACAUCUGUGCCUGUCUUCCUCCACUUUAUAUGUGGGACGCCUACGACAGCAUGGCGUGCCAAGCGGUGCCAUGUCCACACCCAGGAUCCAAACCGGUCAACCCUGGGCUGUCAAAGCAGAAUGUGCGCACUUAACCACUGCGCCACCGGGCUGGCCCCAGAAAAAACUUUUAAACACAGAAAGGAGUUAGUCUCAGAAUAGGGAAAAUAACCAGAGAGUUGUCAAUUCACGCUGAUGCUACCAAAUUUAUUUUGUAAAUAGCAUAUUUGAAAAGUUUGUUUGAAACAACCCAAAUUAUCUUCGGUGAUGAAUGGGUAAACCAAAUGUGGUCCAUCCAUACGAUGGAAUAUUAUUCAGCCAUAAAAAGGAAUGAGGGAUCGAUACAUACCACAAUGUGGGGGAAGCUCAGAAACGUGAUGCUAAGUGAAGGAGGCCAGACUCAAAAGGCCGCCUAUUGUACCGUUCUGUUUAUGUAAAAUGUCCCAAAUAGGCAAAUCCAUAGGAACAGAACGUAGACUGGUGGUUGUCAGGGGCUGGAAGGAGGGAGGAAAUGGAGAGAGACUGCUAGCGGGUACAGGCUUCUUUUGAGGGUGAUAAAAAUGUUCUGAAAUUAGAGAGUGGGGAUGGUUGCACGACAUUGUGAAUAUACUAAAAACCACUAAAUUGUAUACUUUAAAAUGACAACUUUUAUGUUUUAUGGAUUAUAGCUAAUUAAAAAAUACAGUUAAAAAA